AGUAGGUGGUCAUGGACCUGUGCCCUGAAUCCUGUAAGGCAAGUAGAUGUGGAGUUGACAGGUCUCAGGACAGGAUCUUUCAGCACCAGACACGGGAGCUUCCAGCUUGCAGAGCACACAUCACAUCUUCCUCUUGGAGCCCUCCUAGGGCAGACAGCACCUGUGAACCAUAAGUGGUAGGAUUGGCAGCCUGUCUUUCUAGACCUCACUGAUAUACCACUGUGGCUGACAGCCAGGCCGGGUUCAGCUAAAUCACAAGUCUGGCUGAAGUUCCCAACAUCUGUGUAUGCUCACUCUGCACUUGGGAAGCAGCCUCCUUGGUCUCCUGAGAGUGAAGGCUGAAAGGUCAGCAACAUCUAAGAAGCUUGAAGACACAGUCUCACCUGAGUUGUGCCCUCCUGGGUGGCAGUCCUCUGGAAGGAGAAUACUAGAAAAGGGAAGCGGAUUGGAGGUUUUGUUUCAGCUGAAAUCUAGGUUGCUUGGUGCUUGACGGCUUUCCUUUCCUCUGCUCGCUCAGAAAUGCUCUUGACAAUUAAAAACGUUCUUUUAAAAUGCUGUUUGAAAGGUGGAGUGACUGUUGUUUAUAGAGAUCCGUACAAAAUACAUCUGUGCCUUUCCUCCUGAAAGAAAAGGCGACUUGAACAUAUAAUUUAGCACUGACAGCGUUUACAAACAAGAAUUUUAAAAUAAAAUGUGCCCUUUGGUUUGGUGUGUGUGUGUGUGUGUGUGUGCGUGUGUGUGCAUAUUUGUGCGCAUGUAUGUAUAAGCAUUGCACAUGAAUGUUUGGGAGGCUGGGAGGUCUCCAUUCCCACUGCCAACUGCCAAUAAGCCAACGAGGAGCAGAAGCCAGGAUGGAGGAGGCAAAUCCCCCACACAGACGUCUGAACUGUGCCCUAUUCACAGACAGCAUUGUCUGGAAACCCAUGAAUCAGAAAAAUAGACAGGUGGCCUGCUCCUGGUGGUAACGCCAAGGGUGUCUGAAAAACUUCAGAGGCACAUCCAUCCUUCUGCUUUCGUUAUUGUAUCUCUUACAUGUCUAAGUAAAUGAAGACCCAAUUUAGAAUGUCAUUUGUUUUAAGGCAAAGGAUUAAAGCUACAGUGGAUGGAAAGAAUACCAGCACUGCCACCUCCACCUGUCUGGUCUGAAGAAUGCAUUCCUGACUGCUGUGCUGUUGUUGUUCUUCACGUCAUUGUUUCAUGAGAAGCGAGGUACCUCCGCGUGAGCGGAGUGGUGCCUCGGCAUGAGCGGAGUGACUAACCACUGAGUUAUUUUUCCUGUAGGGACUUCAGUGUUUUAUGAGUCUCUCCACCUUAUGUCUCAUGAAUUAACCUCACCCCACCAUCUGAAAUAGCACAGUUUGAUC